rnacentral:rRNA from 1 species
GGAACAGGAGGUCAUGGAGGGUGAGAACCCCGUGUGUGGCUCGGCUGUCACUGGGGGGUGUGGCGUGCCCUCGAAGAGUCGGGUUGUUUGGGAAUGCAGCUCAAAAUGGGUGGUAAAUUUCAUCUAAAGCUAAAUAUUGGCGAGAGACCGAUAGCGAACAAGUAGAGUGAUCGAAAGAUGAAAAGCACUUUGAAAAGAGAGUGAAACAGUACGUGAAAUUGUUGAAAGGGAAGCGUUUGGCAUCAGCCCAUGGCGGCGGUCGAACAUCGGGGCUUCUGUCCCGUGCACUCGAUCGCCGUUGGGCCAGCGUCGGCUUUGCCCGCCGGAUAAAGGCCUUGGGGAAGUGGCUCCACCCAGGAGCGUUAUAACCCUCGGCGACAUGCGGCUGGGCGGGGCCGAGGUCUGCGGUCUCAUCCUAGGACGCUGGCGUAAUGGUUCCAAGCGACCCGUCUUGAAACACGGACCAAGGAGUCUAACAUCUAUGCGAGUGUUUGGGUGUAAAGCCCGACCGCGCAAUGAAAGUGAAUGCAGGCGGGAGCCUCUAUGGUGCACCG